GGAGGGGUGGCAGAGCGGACGAAUGCGACGGUCUUGAACACCGUUGAGGCGCAAGCCUCCGGGGGUUCGAAUCCCCCUCCCUCCG
rnacentral:tRNA from 1 species